rnacentral:rRNA from 1 species
AUGAACGCUGGCGGCGUGCUUAACACAUGCAAGUCGAACGAUGAAGCCCAGCUUGCUGGGUGGAUUAGUGGCGAACGGGUGAGUAACACGUGAGUAACCUGCCCUUGACUCUGGGAUAAGCCUGGGAAACUGGGUCUAAUACUGGAUAUGACUUCUCAUCGCAUGGUGGGGGGUGGAAAGAUUUAUUGGUCUUGGAUGGACUCGCGGCCUAUCAGCUUGUUGGUGAGGUAAUGGCUCACCAAGGCGACGACGGGUAGCCGGCCUGAGAGGGUGACCGGCCACAAUGGGACUGAGAAACGGGCCAGACUCCUACGGGAGGCAACAGGGGGGAAAAUUGCACAAUGGGCGCAAGCCUGAAUGAACGGCGGCGGGGGGGGGAAGACGGGCUUUGGGGUGUAAACCUCUUUCAGUAGGGAAGAAGCGAGAGUGACGGUACCUGCAGAAGAAGCGCCGGCUAACUACGUG